AUCCCACAUCCCACUCGGCGGACGUGCGGAGUGCUGUAGGCGAUCGCUCUAUGCGUACCGCUUUCCCCGCUCUGUCGCCAUCUCCCGGCCCCCGGCGAGUCGCAACUCUCGCAUUCUCACCGGAAGUGCUUCCUCCUCCUCGCACGCUGCCGUGCUCGCACCGCGUCCUCGCUUCCACGUUCGCUCCGUUCCACGCGCACGCUGGCAUCUAUUUCUCUGACGCAAUGCCGGCCUCUUUUGCCCGGCGCGGGCCGCCUCGGCAGCAGCGCGCUCAGGCCGUUCGGCGAAAUGCCGACCCGGGUGUCUUUUCUUGGACCGCAACGGUUGCCGUCGAGAACCCAGGUCGGCUCGUUUAACAGGCUUAGGAAGCGUUCUGGUGCGUAUGUGUAUAUGCCGGAGGGGCGAGCUACGUUGCAAGGCCCGUGGAUUUCUUGGCAGCGUGAAUCCUUGGACAUGCGUAUCGUAGAUGUUGCACUCUAUCAUUGAUCACCGUGCAUGUGGUUAAUGAUUUUCCACUCUGAUUGAGGAAAAAUAUACCAAAUGAAUGAAGGCUCGCUGCAGAGUUGGCAAUGAAUCCCCUUUGUUGUCAUGUUUAGCAUGUAUCAGUGGUACUGUGUUUUCACCCCUCAAGAAAAAAAAGCGGUACUCUGUUUUCUGCUUUUGUCCAUGUUAUAAUUAUCGGAUACAGUGUGGAUUGAAGAACAUAACACAAGAGACUGACACCAUAUUAUUAUUAUUAUUAUUAUUAUUAUUAUUAUUAUUA